rnacentral:rRNA from 1 species
AUUGAACGCUGGCGGCAGGCCUAACACAUGCAAGUCGAGCGAGCGGCGGACGGGUGAGUAAUGUAUGGGGACUGCCCGUUAGAGGGGGAUAACUACUGGAAACGGUAGCUAAUACCGCAUACUAUCGGAUAACCCAUAUGGGAUCAGCUAGUACGUGAGGUAAUGGCUCACCUAGGCGACGAUCCCUAGCUGGUCUGAGAGGAUGAUCAGCCACACUGGGACUGAGACACGGCCCAUACUCCUACGGAGGCAGAAGUAGGGAAUAUUGCACAAUAGACGCAAGCCUGAUACAGCCAUGCCGCGUGUAUGAAGAAGGCCCUAGGGUUGUAAAGUACUGUCAGUCGGGAGGCGUUACCGACAGAAGAAGCACCGGCUAACUCCGUGCCAGCAGCCGCGGUAAUAC